GGAGCAGGCUCCCUGCAAGGAGCCCGUUGCAGGACUUGAUCCCAGGACCCCGCUAUAACAACCUGAGCCGAAGGCAGACGCUCAACCACUGAGCCAUCCAGGUGCCCCCAAUUUAAAUUUUGAUACCAUCUUGUGAAACAUGAGAAAUAUAAAGAAUAUAUAAAUCAUCUCCACAGUGUUCCAGAGAUGAGCAUCAAAUCCAUUUUGUUAUUAGCUCUGUUAGGACAAUAUUCCUUCUUUCCAGUAGUUAAUAUUCAGUCAUAUUCCUUUCACCGAGCUCCAACCUCAGCUCUGCAUCUAGUCAUUGUGUUUCUUUAUAUUUUGCAUGUUUGAUGACAUGAUUGACCCCUGUGGUUUGGCUGAGACUUAAGCUAACAAGUGGUAGUUAAGUGCUUAGCAGAUAGGAGAUGCUCAACAAAUACUUGAUGAAUGAAUUAUAAGAUUUUAGCUCUGCAGAAUGGAAGGUUUCCAUUCUCAGCCAAAUAAUUUCAAAGGUAUCGAUUACAAAACUGUUUCCUAAAUGUGUUUCAUGAAAAACUAAUUUCUCAGAAUAUUAAGUUUUAAGGUCAAAAAGUAUUUUGACCAAGUAAGUUAUGGAAGUGCCCAGUUAAAUAAAAGUAAUUAAAUUUCUGUAUUGCAAGACUUCUCAGAGACUUUAUUGUAAUAUGUCUUAAGAAUCUCUGAGAGAAGUUAGUAUGUAGACUUUUCCAAGAUUAUUUGACCAUAGAACUCUCUCCUCAGCAACCACCUUUCUCUAUCUAAGUAUCCCCUGGACUAGUUAUGAAGAACAUGUAUUAGGAGAUAUUGAAAUAGAGAGGCACAUAAAAAUCUAUAGACAAAAAAAAACGUUGAUGGAUUUGGGUGUUUUUUUGGGGAAAAGUAUCCUUUUUAGGAGUUUCUAGGAUGUCAAAAGAGUCAAGAAUCUUUGUUAAUUCCUGGUCCACAGUUGGGAUGCUAGAGUGGAAAAUUUUGGAGAAUGUGGGACAUUUUUCAGAAAAAAAUAUAUGGGGUGAGGAAGAUUAUGAGUCAGAGGCAGUUAGUCAUUGCAUUGUCUAUACGUUAUUAAAGUUUAUGUAAUUUCUUCUUGAAUUCUCACGGGGAAAAAGAGUUAUCUGUGUGUGGGGAGUGGGACAUGAAAGUGGGAGGUGUGGAAGGAUAGAGAUCUUGUUCCUCUCAUUCUAGAAGAUAUUAUCCAUUUCCAUGUCUUGUCCACCCCCCCCCCCCUCCACUCCCCAACCCCUGGUUUAAGGGCAGGAUGUGGCCCUUGAUUAACUUUUGUACCAGCAGCAUCUCUUACUGGGGCACAGUAGAUGCUUAGUAGAUGUUUGAACUGAAUUGAAGUAAGAGGAUUGGUGAAAUGAUUCAGGGCUUGGGUUCUUGCCUUUACCAAAAUGGCAAGAUUGUAGCUCCUUCCUCCUCCUUGGGUGUGUAAUCUUGGGUAACAGGAUCACUCCACUUCUGAGGAUAUUUUGUUGACAUUGUCACAUGGCGUUUCAGGGUAUUCUGUACCAUGUUUCACCAGAGUGGAUACCAAAACACCUUCUAAAAAAAAAAAAAAAAACAAAAAAAAACCCAAAACUCCGUAGUUGUUCUUUUUAGGACAGCCCACUUAAGAGAUUGCAAAGUUUACAAUUCUAGAAAAGGAGGAGAAAACUGGCAGAACAACUAGAAGAAAAUUAUGAAAGCCUUUAUUUCCAAAGAAUUAGGAGGCUUAAUGAUAAUAUCAAAUGAAAUGAUAUUCCAUCCCUUUCUACAGCUUUUCCUGAAAGAGGAAGCUUGACUCAUUUCAAGUCAGAUCGCAGAAUAAUAUCAUUACAACAGUAGCUAAUAAGCUUCUUACAGAAAUAAGACUCCUAGAAAAAAACAUUCAAAAUUAGUUGAUAAUGUGAAUGUACUAUAUGAACUUUGAAUCUGGUUGAAACAAUAUUUAAUGAAAGUAUUAUGAAAUCUUAGAUGGAGAGCAUUUUAACUUAUUUAACAACUGAAUAGCUAUUGUGACAAAGUAUGAUGCUUGUCACUAUGGUACAAAGAUAUGUAAUAUGUGUCUUAUACCUUCCAAGUUGUUUGUAGUUGAGUUAGAGUGACAGGCACGUACGAGGAUAAUGAAGUGGGUGGCAGUGGCAGGUCAGGGGGAAGAUCUGAAUGCCGCUGACUGGGGAGCAUGUGGAUUUCACUCACGUGCUGGCACUAGCAUAGUGAUGUGAACACGCGGACUUCCCAGCCCAGGCAUUGGGUUGGCUUUGAGAAUCUGAAGCGGGAUGUGUCUGUGUCUGCAGAUAGGCAAAUUCGUAAGUAUUUAAAUGAGUCAUUUUGAUAGAAUGGUCAGUUCCAAAGGAUUCCUUAAAGGAGACUCCCUCAGUGCUUAUUAAGAAAAUGAGUCAGGGAGAUCUGGACAUCACACGCAUUCUAGCAUCUUCUGACAAAUAUAUUUCAUUUCUCGCAAAUUCUUCAACAUUUAGAAUAAAAUUGACACAGCCACUUCACAAAAUCAUGUGAUCUAGGAAGAAGACCAUGAACCCUGACAGAAUGACUCAAAUCCUGACUCAAAUAUUUAGUUCCUGAUUGACAGUUGAGGGAUAUUUCUUACUUUCUCUAUGCCUCUAACCCAAAGGAUUAUUGUGAGAGCAGUAAUAUAUGUAAAGUCAGGCUCUUUCCUUACCUCCUCUUAUGGAAACCUGGACUUCUCUUCUACAGCACACCUGGCAGUUUGUAAUUCAGUAAUUAUGAAGCCAGCUCUUUCGUAUGUGUCUCCUCUGCCUUCUGCUGGGAGAUGUGCUUCCGGAAGGAAGGAAGCAACCUCUCCUCUUUACCUGUGGUGUUCCAGGCACCUGGCACAUCCAUGAGUUGGUGCCGCCUGGGCGAAGUCCCAACAGUAUGUGGUGUAGACUCCCCGAUUUAUAAACAUUGCUUCCCUUCUUUCUCAUACACGGAAUAUGACAGUUUUCUUUUCCCUGUUCUGUUCCUAGGAGUUUGGCGAAUUUCUCUGCUCCUCCUAUAAUACAUGAUAUUACUGGCAUAUUGGUUACUUCUGACACUUCCUAGGGGCUCUUCCUAGUAGCACGGAUCUUCUUAACAACAUCGACAUCAAAUUCUUCUUGAACUAAAAGCAUAAUCUCUCCUACUUUUACCUGUCCUUACAAUGGUAUUUUUCCUGAAUUGUUUCUUAGAGAUAAAAAAAGGUAACUUCCGGGUCUACUUAUAGUAUUUUGAAAUAGUCUACUUAUAGUAUUUUGAAAAUGUUUAUUUCAUUUUGCUUAAGUUCACAGGAUGAAUAUGGUACCUUCAGACCGCUAUUAUACUGCUCCUUAUUGCAGGUAUUAAGUAAGAAACCUAAACCCUGCAGCAGAUGUCUACAUUCUAUUUACCCAAAGGCAGAAGGAAAAUUAAAGUUCUGUGUCCCCUGAGCAGUCUGGCUGGCUGGCACUGUCCUUGCUCUCUAGGAAUUGCUGUCUGAAAUGUAUAUAUAGCAUGAUGCAUCUCGGCAAUCUGCAAAAUAGGAUUUGGUGACAAAAACCUCAACUAUGUGGUGGAACAAGAAUUCAAACACAGGCCUCCCUGCUUCUGGUGCCCAUAAACUUUUAUCUUCAAGGGAUCACCAAAAUAUAAACUCCAGUACCAACCAAACUUGAGUCUAUCCAUGGAAUCGUAGAAAAAGAAUAAUCACAUAAUUGCUGCCAGAUUCCAUCAAAGAGCUCUUUAUUCAGGGAAGAUGCUGCCUUGCCCAGCUUAUGUGAGUUUCCCUGUGACUUCUCAGAAAUAUCAUUUGUGUAGAAUGAAGUCUGUGUCUGCCCAUUAGAAUAAGAUUCCAUUAAAUAACUAAAUCAUA